ACGAACGCUGGCGGCGUGCCUAAUACAUGCAAGUUGAGCGAUGAAGAUUGGUGCUUGCACCAAUUUGAAGAGCAGCGAACGGGUGAGUAACGCGUGGGGAAUCUGCCUUUGAGCGGGGGACAACAUUUGGAAACGAAUGCUAAUACCGCAUAACAACUUUAAACAUAAGUUUUAAGUUUGAAAGAUGCAAUUGCAUCACUCAAAGAUGAUCCCGCGUUGUAUUAGCUAGUUGGUGAGGUAAAGGCUCACCAAGGCGAUGAUACAUAGCCGACCUGAGAGGGUGAUCGGCCACAUUGGGACUGAGACACGGCCCAAACUCCUACGGGAGGCAGCAGUAGGGAAUCUUCGGCAAUGGACGAAAGUCUGACCGAGCAACGCCGCGUGAGUGAAGAAGGGUGUCGGAUCGUAAAACUCUGUUGGUAGAGAAGAACGUUGGUGAGAGUGGAAAGCUCAUCAAGUGACGGUAACUACCCAGAAAGGGACGGCUAACUACGUG
rnacentral:rRNA from 1 species